GAAAAACCUUCCUUUUCUUUGAGGCUAUUACUCUUAUGGAACUGGUCACUGGUUCAGGGCUGACCCAAUAUUCAGCACUGGCUCUGAGGGUUGAACUUGGUUCCUUUCAGCAUUCAGGCAGCUCCCCAACACCCUGCACACAAUGCCCAGACCCACUGGACCAGACAGACAGAGCCCGCCUCCAACAAGGGCACCCACCAGUGCUGAAUGGGAUCGAGUAGACGAAGCUCCCUGGAAUCUGCUCAGCGGCUCUUCGGUACCAGAGAGGGAAAUGGUCUGCGUUAAAAAUGUUCUCCUUGUCGCCAGCUUUCAGGAAGUCCCUUGAAGUGGAAAAGAAUCAGAAGAACAUGCAUCACUCAGCAGAGUAAAGGUGGGCCUGGAGCACCCCGACAGCCUUCAUCAGACAUGAAAUUCUUCAUAAACCUGACCUGGACGGUGUGAGGAGGAGCCUCUGUUGCCUGGCCCAUGGCAGGAUGCAUUGCUACUCUCUACCCUGGGUCACAGGUGCAGCCACGACUGAGCAGAAGGUGUUCGCACUCCCAGCAGGUCUGUUCAGUGGUCAUUACAGCUAAGAGGUGCCCUGUCUAUGCAGCACAGGUUAAUGAUGCCCACAGGGGACCUUUUUCCAGAGUCAUGGUAGAUGAGAUGGUGGCUUGGUUAGAAGGUAUGAAGUGGUCCUCACUUAAGGCAGUGACAUUCAGGCUUUGGGGGUGGCUGGCAAUAGAUCUGGAAUGCUGCACAUCUGGGUGUCCAGUGCCCUGCUGCCCGGGACAGUGCUGGCACCUAGGGCAGCCAGCAGGAGCCUGCAGCACUUGAUCCCCAUUAGCCCUGGUGUCACUGCGAAAGGACUGAGUUGCCGGGAAACCCUGGAGGCCUCUGCCAACUACUAGGCAGCAAUUCUGGAGGAAACAGGAAGGAGCAACCUGAUUUUACAGAAUCCCAAAAAUGUUCUUCAGGAAGAAAGAUCCUUCUGGGUAAGGUGAAAGUCUCCUCCUGGAUACUAGGAGCUAUUGCAGUGGUGUGUCAGGCUGGUCUAGAUUC
rnacentral:lncRNA from 1 species